rnacentral:rRNA from 1 species
UGGGGAAUAUUGGACAAUGGGCGCAACCCUGAUCCAGCAAUGCCGCGUGAGUGAAGAAGGCCUUCGGGUUGUAAAGCUCUUUUGUCAGGGAAGAAACGGUAGUAGCGAAUAACUACUACUAAUGACGGUACCUGAAGAAUAAGCACCGGCUAACUACGUGCCAGCAGCCGCGGUAAUACGUAGGGUGCAAGCGUUAAUCGGAAUUACUGGGCGUAAAGCGUGCGCAGGCGGUUGUGUAAGUCAGAUGUGAAAUCCCCGGGCUCAACCUGGGAAUUGCAUUUGAGACUGCACGGCUAGAGUGUGUCAGAGGGGGGUAGAAUUCCACGUGUAGCAGUGAAAUGCGUAGAUAUGUGGAGGAAUACCGAUGGCGAAGGCAGCCCCCUGGGAUAACACUGACGCUCAUGCACGAAAGCGUGGGGAGCAAACAGGAUUAGAUACCCGAGUAGUCCCUGAGCGGGCUGGCAAGGCGCAU